UACGUAGGGCGCAAGCGUUGUCCGGAAUUAUUGGGCGUAAAGAGCUCGUAGGCGGCUUGUCACGUCGAUUUGUGAAAAGCCCGAGGCUUAACCUCGGGUCUGCAGUCGAUACGGGCUAGCUAGAGUGUGGUAGGGGGAGAUCGGAAUUCCUGGUGUAGCGGUGAAAAUGCGCAGAUAUCAGGAGGAACACCGAUGGCGGAGGCAGGUCUCUGGGCAUUAACUGACGUGAGGAGCGAAAGCAUGGGGGAGCGAACAGG
rnacentral:rRNA from 1 species